GCCUGGGUGGCUCAGUCGGUUAAGCGUCCGACUUCGGCUCAGGUCAUGAUCUCGCGAUCCGUGGGUUCGAGCCCCGCGUCGGGCU
rnacentral:tRNA from 1 species